CGCGUAGGCGGCUUUAUAAGUCUGGAGUGAAAGUCCUCUUUUCAAGGGAGGAAUUGCUUUGGAAACUAUAGAGCUUAAGUGCAGGAGAGGUUAUCGGAAUUCCCGGUGUAGCGGUGAAAUGCGUAGAUAUCGGGAGGAACAUCGGUGGCGAAGGCGGGUAACUGGACUGCAACUGACGCUGAGGCGCGAAAGUGUGGGGAGCAAACA
rnacentral:rRNA from 1 species